UCCUUCUGUCUCUCCAUGGUUCAAUCGUCAAUCUGAUUGUUAGUUUGUUUGCUCUCUGACACAUAAGUUUUUGUUAGUUCGAUUGCAAGCUGUUUUGGUCUGAGUGAAUGCUUAAUAAAUUGAGAAAACUGAACUGUCUGUUUUAGCUCCAGCGUGGGGUCUUUUGGCAUGAGAAUCUGCAUAUCUUUUUGUUUAACUACCUGUUAGGAUAAAAUCUUAUAUUGGCUAAAUCACAUGUUUACUUGUAUGAUGUACUACUAAAUUUAGCACAGACGUUGUCAUCUCUUAAGUAAGGAAGUAUAUGGCUGAAGCUAAUAUUAACUCUGAAAUCUAGUACUAAAUCCAGUAGACAUGUGUUAAAUCUUUUGUUGGCUGAAGCUAAUAUUUACUUGUUGGUAUGAUUGUCUAUAUACUGUGCAGUUUCAUGUGCAUGUAAAAAUCACAGAAAGGGGUUCAGUUGACUUUGCAAGUCUUGGCAAGAGAGAGAGGUAUAAUUGAGAGCUUCAGGUUUAGACUGUACUCAAGGAGGGUCUUGCUCUGCAGUUGGUAACCUGACAAGAGUGGAGGGUCUUUAAAAAGUCUGCUUUGAGCUAUAAAUAAUCGGAGCUUUCGCGUCUCACAGAUGACAUGAGUAAGCGGCUGCCAAUCAUGUAAAGAAGGGAGGAGGAGUUCAACAUGGGGCCUCUGUCCGCUCUCAUGUUGAGCGUCAAGAACAUUACUCAGGUUGAUGAACUUCUUUCUUGUUUUGAAACCCAAGUUGACCAAUGGCUUGAAUUUUCAUUGUGUUGUCUGCAUCUUUUCCAGAAUUGAACACCUGCUGGUGUUCUUCUUGCGUGUACACUGGCUAAAAAUUAGUUGACAUCAUAUUGUACUAAAAGAGUCAUGCUUUGAUAUAUUCAGGUUUAGACUACUGAAGGAGAGUAAUGUUCUGCAGUUGGUAACCUGACAAGAGUAGAUGGUCUUUAAAAAGUCUGCUUUGAGCUAUAAAUAGUGUGAGGCUCUGCUUUAGAUUUCAGUUUCAGGUUUUAGCAUGACUGCAGUCGCUAAAUUUGAAUUACCCAGCUGCUAAUUGUGUGUUAAAAACGAGCUACUUUGGUCAUACUAGUACCAUCAUUAUACUUAUAUAAUGUUGGUUUGCGUGUAAGUCUUAUAUUGUUCUGAAUUCGUCAUCUUUAGCUAUUAAAUCAUUUUCUUUUCUGGCCUUCAAUUAGCGGAGCUUUUGCGUCUCACCGAUGAUGGAGUAAGUGUAAGGAUUGUUUCUUCCUCUGUUUAUUCAUCUGGCUCCAGGAGCUAGCCCUUGUUCAGAUGCAUUAAUGUGAUAAUAAAAGCAACACCACUCUAGUUAAGACUUAAGAUGAUUAAGCAUUCAGAUGAAAUAGCGUACCAGUGUUUCAGUUUUGGCCCACCUCUCAUCCCAGUCCUUGCAUUAUUUGCUUGGGUAAAUCCCCUGAUCCGAAUUGGCCAAUGUCCACAUGCUCUUUUGUUUGCUGCUGGUCUUGAAUGGCAGCAGUCUGGUUACACAUGGACUUUGGUAGUACUUUUUCCUGUCCCAUUUCUUCUUUGAUUAACAUCUAGAGGCAGGCUUCUCCUUUAUAGACCAUCGAACCAACGUACUGGUCUAUGAAUCCAAGUAACUGUUUUGGCUGAGCUAGUUGGGCUUUGGUGUGUUCAUUUCUUGUCUCUACAUCUCAUGCAUAUGCAGCGUCUUUUGAAUUCAACUGCUAUUGUUGUGCGCUCAAAUACCCUUUUUUUCUCAUGCAAAUAUACGUAGGAUUAUCUAGAUGAUUUUUUAAUACUGUACUAUGGAUUCAGCUGCUAUUUGUAUCAUGCUUUGAGCUCACUUCUUGUGGUACUGAUUUAAUUCACAAUGCUUCUGCAUUUUAUUUCUGUUACUGAUAUAUGAUGUUUCUUACUUGCAAGGUUUAGAAGCCUGUGAGCGUAGGAUACUGAUGUCUCCAUUGAGAGCUUUCCAUGCUCUCAUACAUGAAUUUGGACCUUUACCCCACUGUUGCUGCCGUGUGAUGUUUAGAAAGGAAGGAUCUGGGUUGAUCCUUUCACUUUGUGUAUCUAUGUAAUCUGCUCUGAACAGCCUCGCCGACUGGUCUACGCGACCAUUUCUGCUUCGGAGUGCUUUAGAGGGCCUGGAGUUGUAAUAUUAUUUCUGUUUGGUUGAACUCUUGAUGGAGGUAGGCUUCUCUGUAUGAAUGUCACGUUAGUGCUCUAUGCACCUGUUUUGGUAAAGAAUACAAUCUGUGA